rnacentral:ncRNA from 2 species
CCUACCGAGGAGCGUUGCAGCGCCCUGAUUCCCUGUCGCCCAGGGGGCAGCAGGACGCGAGGCUCGGGUCAUCAUUUUGCAACGACGCUCGCCCACG